UCUAUUUGACAGACCUGGAGCAGUCACUGUCUGCUUUUAUGGUUUUUACUACAGAUAGCAAGACAAACGUUUCCUCGAGCUUUCUGCCCAUCUGCUUGUGGCAGCCAAGAUUGAAUAGGGGGAUACAGUA